GACAGAGGGUGCAAACGUUGUUCGGAAUUACUGGGCGUAAAGCGCGUGUAGGCUGCUUGGAAAGUCGGAUGUGAAAGCCCUGGGCUCAACCUAGGAAGUGCAUUCGAAACUUCUGAGCUUGAGUUCUGGAGAGGAAGGCGGAAUUCUCGGUGUAGAGGUGAAAUUCGUAGAUAUCGAGAGGAACACCGGUGGCGAAGGCGGCCUUCUGGACAGUGACUGACGCUGAGACGCGAAAGCGUGGGGAGCAAACAGG
rnacentral:rRNA from 1 species